rnacentral:rRNA from 1 species
AGAACGAACGCUGGCGGCAUGCCUAACACAUGCAAGUCGAACGAGACCUUCGGGUCUAGUGGCGCACGGGUGCGUAACGCGUGGGAAUCUGCCCUUGGGUUCGGAAUAACAGCGAGAAAUUGCUGCUAAUACCGGAUGAUGACGUAAGUCCAAAGAUUUAUCGCCCAAGGAUGAGCCCGCGUAGGAUUAGCUUGUUGGUGAGGUAAGAGCUCACCAAGGCGACGAUCCUUAGCUGGUCUGAGAGGAGUGAUCAGCCACACUGGGACUGA